GGACCCCUAGCUCAGCGGUAGAGCGUGAGAUUCCAGCGUUAAGCCCGUCAAGGGAUGCGUGAGAAUAUCCUCAAGGUCAUCCGUUCGAUCCGGGUGGGGUUCA